AACGAACGCUGGCGGCAGGCUUAACACAUGCAAGUCGAACGCUCCGCAAGGAGAGCGGCAGACGGGUGAGUAACACGUGGGAACGUACCCUCUACUACGGAACAACUCCGGGAAACUGGAGCUAAUACCGUAUGUGCCCAUCGGUGGAAAGAUUUAUCGGUAAAGGAUCGGCCCGCGUUGGAUUAGCUAGUUGGUGGGGUAAAGGCCUACCAAGGUGACGAGCCAUAGCUGGUAUGAGAGGAUGAUCAGCCACAUUGGGACUUAGACACGGCCCAAACUCCUACGGGAGGCAGCAGUGGGGAAUAUUGGACAAUGGGCGCAAGCCUGAUCCAGCCAUGCCGCGUGUGUGAUGAAGGCCUUAGGGUUGUAAAGCACUUUCACCGGAGAAGAUAAUGACGGUAUCCGGAGAAGAAGCCCCGGCUAACUUCGUGCCAGCCGCCGCGGUAA
rnacentral:rRNA from 1 species